rnacentral:rRNA from 1 species
GAAGGGAGCUUGCUCCCGGAUGUUAGCGGCGGACGGGUGAGUAACACGUGGGUAACCUGCCUGUAAGACUGGGAUAACUCCGGGAAACCGGAGCUAAUACCGGAUAGUUCCUUGAACCGCAUGGUUCAAGGAUGAAAGACGGUUUCGGCUGUCACUUACAGAUGGACCCGCGGCGCAUUAGCUAGUUGGUGGGGUAAUGGCUCACCAAGGCGACGAUGCGUAGCCGACCUGAGAGGGUGAUCGGCCACACUGGGACUGAGACACGGCCCAGACUCCUACGGGAGGCAGCAGUAGGGAAUCUUCCGCAAUGGACGAAAGUCUGACGGAGCAACGCCGCGUGAGUGAUGAAGGUUUUCGGAUCGUAAAGCUCUGUUGUUAGGGAAGAACAAGUGCGAGAGUAACUGCUCGCACCUUGACGGUACCUAACCAGAAAGCCACGGCUAACUACGUGCCAGCAGCCGCGGUAAUACGUAGGUGGCAAGCGUUGUCCGGAAUUAUUGGGCGUAAAGGGCUCGCAGGCGGUUUCUUAAGUCUGAUGUGAAAGCCCCCGGCUCAACCGGGGAGGGUCAUUGGAAACUGGGAAACUUGAGUGCAGAAGAGGAGAGUGGAAUUCCACGUGUAGCGGUGAAAUGCGUAGAGAUGUGGAGGAACACCAGUGGCGAAGGCGACUCUCUGGUCUGUAACUGACGCUGAGGAGCGAAAGCGUGGGGAGCGAAC